rnacentral:rRNA from 1 species
CUACGGGGGGCAGCAGUGGGGAAUAUUGCGCAAUGGGCGAAAGCCUGACGCAGCAACGCCGCGUGAGUGAUGAAGGCCUUCGGGUCGUAAAGCUCUGUCGGGAGGGAAGAACACCUUCGGGUCUGACGGUACCUCCCGAGGAAGCACAGGCUAACUCCGUGCCAGCAGCCGCGGUAAUACGGAGUGUGCAAGCGUUGUUCGGAAUUACUGGGCGUAAAGCGCGCGUAGGCGGCUUGAUAAGUCAGAUGUGAAAUCCCUCGGCUUAACCGAGGAACUGCAUUUGAAACUGUCAGGCUUGAGUACGGGAGGGGGAAGCGGAAUUCCCAGUGUAGAGGUGAAAUUCGUAGAUAUUGGGAGGAACACCAGCGGCGAAGGCGGCUUCCUGGACCGAUACUGACGCUGAGGCGCGAAAGCGUGGGGAGCAAACAGGAUUAGAUACCCUCGUAGUC